rnacentral:rRNA from 1 species
CCUACGGGAGGCAGCAGUGGGGAAUAUUGCACAAUGGGCGGAAGCCUGAUGCAGCGACGCCGCGUGAGUGAAGAAGUUUUUCGGUAUGGAAAGCUCGAUCAGUAGGGAAGGAGAAAGUCGGUACCGGACUCAGAUGCCCCGGCUAACUACGUGCCAGCAGCCUCGGUCAUACGUAGGGGGCAAGCGUUAUCCGGAUUUACGGGGGGUAACGGGAUCGUAGACGGCUGUGCAAGGCUGCAGUGAAAGCACAGGGCUCAACCCUGGGACUGCUUUGGAAACUGGGGCGCUAGAGUGCUGGUGAGGUAAGUGGAAUGCGUGGUGUAGCGGUGAAAUGCGUAGAUAUGAGGAGGAACAC